rnacentral:rRNA from 1 species
CCUACGGGUGGCAGCAGUGGGGGAUAUUGCACAAUGGGGGGAACCCUGAUGCAGCGACGCCGCGUGGGUGAAGGAGUGCUUCGGCAUGUAAAGCCCUAUCGGCAGGGAAGAAGCAAGACGGUACCUGACUAAGAAGCCCCGGCUAACUACGUGCCAGCAGCCGCGGUAAUACGUAGGGGGCGAGCGUUAUCCGGAUUCACUGGGUGUAAAGGGAGCGUAGACGGCCAUGCAAGCCAGGGGUGAAAGCCCGGGGCCAAACCCCGGGACUGCCCUUGGAACUGUCCGGCGAGAGUGCGGGAGGGGCAGGCGGAAUUCCUGGGGGAGCGGGGAAAUGCGUAGAUAUCAGGAGGAACGCCGGCGGCGAAGGCGGCCUGCUGGACUGCGACUGACGUUGAGGCUCGAAAGCGUGGGGAGCGAACAGGAAUAGAUACCCCGGUAGUC